rnacentral:misc_RNA from 1 species
GAUGAAGAACGCAGCGAAAUGCGAUAAGUAAUGUGAAUUGCAGAAUUCAGUGAAUCAUCGAAUCUUUGAACGCACCUUGCGCCCUUUGGCUAUUCCGAAGGGCAUGCCUGUUUGAGUAUCAUGAACACCUCAACCCUCAUGGUUUGCCAUGAUGGGCUUGGACUUUGGGGGUCUUGCUGGAUUGUAGUCAGCUCCCCUUAAAUGAAUCAGCUUGCCAGUGUUUGGUGGCAUCACAGGUGUGAUAAAUAUCUACGCUUGUGGUUUUACAUCAGAUAACCUUCAGUGAUGGAGGUUCACUGGAGCUCAUAAAGGUGUCUCUCCUCUGUGAGGACAGCUCUUUGAAUGUUUGAUCUCAAAUAAGGCAGGACUACCCGCUGAACUUAAGCAUAUCAAUAAGCGGAGGA